rnacentral:rRNA from 1 species
CUUAGUUGGUGCAGUGAUUUGUCAGGUUUAUUCCGGUAACGAACGAGACCUCGGCCUUGUAAAUAGCUAUGCUGCUUACAGGGACAUUGGCGGCUACGCCAAGGAAGCUCGAGGCAAUUGCAGAUCUGGAAUGCCCUUAGAUGUCCUGGGUCGCACGCGUGCUACAAUGACGCCACGAACGAGCUUGCGUGAUGAAAGUUACGCAUAAUCAGCAGUCGGCGUCUUAAGGGAUAGUCUCUUGUAACUGUGGGACUCCAACUAGGAAUGUCUCGUAAGCACAAGUCAACAUCUUGUGUUGAUUACGUCCCUACUCUGAAAUAUCUACCGCCCGUCGCUCCUCCGAUCGAGUUCCUUCUAAUUGAUGACGAAGGAAGUCAAAAAACCGAGCAUAGGACGGAGUACAUGCUCCUCUUUUACGCCCCCUGCGGUUUCGGCCUGAGCCUUGUGAUUGUUUUUUCCUAGGUCCCAUUUUUUCUUCUUUUAAAACCUGAACUGUAUAG